CGUAGGGUGCGAGCGUUGUCCGGAAUUAUUGGGCGUAAAGAGCUCGUAGGCGGUGUGUCGCGUCGGCCGUGAAAACCUGCAGCUUAACUGUGGGCUUGCGGUCGAUACGGGCAUCACUGGAGUUCGGCAGGGGAGACUGGAAUUCCUGGUGUAGCAGUGAAAUGCGCAGAUAUCAGGAGGAACACCGGUGGCGAAGGCGGGUCUCUGGGCCGAUACUGACGCUGAGGAGCGAAAGCGUGGGGAGCGAACAGGAUUAGAUACCCUGGUAGUCCACGCCGUAAACGUUGGGCGCUAGGUGUGGGGGCCAUUCCACGGUCUCUGUGCCGUAGCUAACGCAUUAAGCGCCCCGCCUGGGGAGUACGGCCGCAAGGCUA
rnacentral:rRNA from 1 species